CAACCUGUGAUACUCAAACUGGGGGCUCUUUUUUUUUUUCUUUGAAGAAAAGUGCCGCCAGGUUUUGAGUGUUACCGAUUG
rnacentral:pre_miRNA from 1 species